GAAGAGAUUCGUACCCGGUGGUACGUCCGGUCUUCAAAACCGGGUGGGGCCGUCAGCCGGUCCCGGGUGGGUUCGACCCCCACUCUCUUCC
rnacentral:tRNA from 1 species